GAUGAACGCUGGCGGCGUGCCUAAUACAUGCAAGUCGAGCGAACAGACGAGGAGCUUGCUCCUCUGACGUUAGCGGCGGACGGGUGAGUAACACGUGGAUAACCUACCUAUAAGACUGGGAUAACUUCGGGAAACCGGAGCUAAUACCGGAUAAUAUAUUGAACCGCAUGGUUCAAUAGUGAAAGACGGUUUUGCUGUCACUUAUAGAUGGAUCCGCGCCGCAUUAGCUAGUUGGUAAGGUAACGGCUUACCAAGGCAACGAUGCGUAGCCGACCUGAGAGGGUGAUCGGCCACACUGGAACGGAGACACGGUCCAGACUCCUACGGGAGGCAGCAGUAGGGAAUCUUCCGCAAUGGGCGAAAGCCUGACGGAGCAACGCCGCGUGAGUGAUGAAGGUCUUCGGAUCGUAAAGCUCUGUUAUUAGGGAAGAACAAAUGUGUAAGUAACUAUGCACGUCUUGACGGUACCUAAUCAGAAAGCCACGGCUAACUACGUG
rnacentral:rRNA from 1 species